rnacentral:rRNA from 1 species
UAUUGGUCAAUAGCCUAACGGCUGAACCAGCAACUUGGAGGAACGCAUCUGAACUAUGUUUUAUAAAGUUCUGGGUAGAUAGAUGAUUUUGACAAUUUCUACUCAUUAGUCUUGACCAAGUCACGUGCCAGCAGUCGCGGUAAUACGUGGAAGACAAGUGUUAUUCAUCUUUAUUGGGUUUAAAGGGUACCUAGACGGCCGAUAAAGCCUAAAUAUAAAAAUUAGAGGGACUAAUUGGCUAGAGUUUUAUGUGAGGAGGAUAGGGUACGAAGAGCGUAGAGAUGAAAUUCGAUGAUCCCUUUCAGGAACCGACAAAGGCGAAAGCAAUCUUUUAUGUAAAAACUGACGUUGAGGGACGAAGGCUCGUGAAACAAACAGGAUUAGAUACCCUAGUAAUGUGGGCAGACAAUGAUGAAUGUCAUAUGUAAGUAUAGUAUUUAUAUUUAUAUAGAUUUGUAUCUGUAUAAUAUAAAUAAAUUUAUGUAUAAAUGAAAGUGUAAGCAUUCCACCUCAAGAGUAACGUGGCAACGCGGAAACUGAAAUCACUAGACCGUUUUUGAAACCAGUAGUGAAGUAUGUUGUUUAAUUUGAUGAUCCACGGAAAACCUUACCACUACUUGAAUGUUUAUAUAUAAUAUAUAUUUAUACAGGAGUUGCACGGCUGUCUUCAGUUGAUGUCGUGAGAUUUUGGUUAGUUCCAUUAAAUCAACGUAAGCCCUCACUUUAUUUUUUAUAUAAAGUAGCUCACCGCUAUAUUGGAUGUGAUAA